CUUUGACUCCUUCAUCUGGGUCUUCCUCUGUCGGCUGCCGGAUCAGGCUGUCUUUCAGCAUGUGAAACAUCUCCUCCCGGGAUAUGUAUCCAUCUCCAUUCAAGUCAUAGACAUUGAAGCUGUCUAAAGAGGGUCCCACGCAGGAACACGGCCAAACCUUCUAUCCAUUCCUUCACGCUGAUAUAACUGUCGUUAUCCUUGUCAAAUGCCCGGAAAACUGGAAGAUGUGGGAAGGAAGCAGAGCUUUAUAAAAAAUCUGUAGUUGGGGAAGCCAUCCAAUGUGUAUCUGAAUAGUAUGACUAGAAAAUGGUUUUCCCAGCCAAACUUUAAGACCGUGUUUCUUAAACAUUAUUUAAAAGAAAGUGAUGUUAAUGGUUACAUCAGUUGUUUCUACACAUCUUUGUGACAAAGUGUUUUGCACUGCACCUCUGUCCAUGAUCAUGUCAUCUGUCAUCCCAAAUGUGUUGUGUAAUAUGUUUCUGAAUUUUCCUCGAUCCAGGCCAUGUCCUGUUUUCCGAUCAUUCUGGUCCCCAAACCGUCCAUUGAACAGUCUGAUUAGACACUCUGCUUCCGUCCUGUUAACUGCGGUCAGGGAAGUUUAUUUAAUGUCAGAAUAGUUCUGAAACCAAAUACUUAAAGAAUGAAUAA